rnacentral:rRNA from 1 species
CCUACGGGGGGCUGCAGUGGGGAAUUUUGCGCAAUGUGCGAAAGCCUGACGCAGCAACGCCGCGUGGGUGAUGAAGGUCUUCGGAUCGUAAAACCCUGUCGUCGGGGACGAAGGUUGUUUUCCUAACAGGUGUGCAAUUUGACGGUACCCGGAGAGGAAGCCCCGGCUAACUCUGUGCCAGCAGCCGCGGUAAUACAGAGGGGGCAUGCGUUAUUCGGAAUGAUUGGGCGCGAAGGGCUAGGUCAGAGGUGUAAUCCCCGAGCUCAACUUGGGAACUGCAUCUGAGACUGGAAGGCUAGAGUACUGGAGAGGGUGGUAGAAUUCCACGUGUAGCGGUGAAAUGCGUAGAGAUGUGGAGGAAUACCAGUGGCGAAGGCGGCCACCUGGACAGUAACUGACGCUGAGGCGCGAAAGUGUGGGUAGCAAACAGGAUUAGAUACCCCUGUAGUC